rnacentral:rRNA from 1 species
GAUGAACGCUGGCGGCGUGCCUAAUACAUGCAAGUCGAGCGAACAGACGAGGAGCUUGCUCCUCUGACGUUAGCGGCGGACGGGUGAGUAACACGUGGAUAACCUACCUAUAAGACUGGGAUAACUUCGGGAAACCGGAGCUAAUACCGGAUAAUAUAUUGAACCGCAUGGUUCAAUAGUGAAAGACGGUUUUGCUGUCACUUAUAGAUGUAUCCGCGCCGCAUUAGCUAGUUGGUAAGGUAACGGCUUACCAAGGCAACGAUGCGUAGCCGACCUGAGAGGGUGAUCGGCCACACUGGAACUGAGACACGGUCCAGACUCCUACGGGAGGCAGCAGUAGGGAAUCUUCAGCAAUGGGCGAAAGCCUGACGGAGCAACGCCGCGUGAGUGAUGAAGGUCUUCGGAUCGUAAAACUCUGUUAUUAGGGAAGAACAAAUGUGUAAGUAACUAUGCACGUCUUGACGGUACCUAAUCAGAAAGCCACGGCUAACUACGUG